UGGGGAAUAUUGCACAAUGGGCGAAAGCCUGAUGCAGCAACGCCGCGUGAGUGAUGAAGGCCUUCGGGUUGUAAAGCUCUGUCUUCUGGGACGAUAAUGACGGUACCAGAGGAGGAAGCCACGGCUAACUACGUGCCAGCAGCCGCGGUAAUACGUAGGUGGCAAGCGUUGUUCGGAUUUACUGGGCGUAAAGGAUGCGUAGGCGGAUACUUAAGUCAGAUGUGAAAAUCCCGGGCUUAACUUGGGAACUGCAUUUGAAACUGGGUAUCUAGAGUGCGGGAGAGAAAAGUCGAAUUCCUAGUGUAGCGGUGAAAUGCGUAGAGAUUAGGAAGAACACCAGUGGC
rnacentral:rRNA from 1 species